rnacentral:rRNA from 1 species
GACGAACGCUGGCGGCGUGCUUAACACAUGCAAGUCGAACGGAAAGGCCCUGCUUUUGUGGGGUGCUCGAGUGGCGAACGGGUGAGUAACACGUGAGUAACCUGCCCUUGACUUUGGGAUAACUUCAGGAAACUGGGGCUAAUACCGGAUAGGAGCUCCUGCUGCAUGGUGGGGGUUGGAAAGUUUCGGCGGUUGGGGAUGGACUCGCGGCUUAUCAGCUUGUUGGUGGGGUAGUGGCUUACCAAGGCUUUGACGGGUAGCCGGCCUGAGAGGGUGACCGGCCACAUUGGGACUGAGAUACGGCCCAGACUCCUACGGGAGGCAGAAGUGGGGAAUAUUGCACAAUGGGCGGAAGCCUGAUGCAGCAACGCCGCGGGCGGGAUGACGGCCUUCGGGUUGGAAACCGCUUUCGCCUGUGACGAAGCGUGAGUGACGGUAAGGGGGAAAGAAGCACCGGCUAACUACGUGC